rnacentral:miRNA from 2 species
ACUGGGGGCUUUCGGGCUCUGCGU